rnacentral:lncRNA from 1 species
UGUGAUGCCUCCGGCUUGGUCUUCUUAGGAAGCGGCUUUUUACAAAUGAGGUCACACAGGGUGUCCAUAUUGCUCUACCACGGGUGAGGGCAGCUGAUUGGUCAAGAGAGAGUAUAAAGGCUCUGGGUUGCUAAGGCAACACCCAGACAGGUGAGGGCUUGGAAGAAGAAGGAUCUUCCUCUGCUCCACCUGCUCCUGAGAGUCCCCUUAACCUGCUGCUUGUGUCGUGCUCACCUAGUGAUUUACUGACCUGCUGACCUACUAACCUGUCUGACCCUCCCCCCUUCCCUUUUGUACUUGAUCUGAUCCUGAUACUGUCCCUGACCCCCUUCUUCUCCUGACACACCCCUUCCCUAACCCCACCCCCCUUUUAUACUCCUACCCCAUCCCCAAUUACCACCCCUCCCCUCUUUCCUUCCCCUCCCCACUCCUCCCUUGCUCACCUACACCCCAUCUCCCAUGUCCACCUCCUGCCUGGAACCUUAGAGUCCCCUUAAAGGACCAGGACAGGAAGGUGCAGAGGCUGUUUUUCUGGCUCCUUGUGCUUGGGUGUCCUGGUUGCCCAAACACAAAUGUAAAGAGUGGAAUAUAUGAAGAUCAAAUUUCUGAGAAGAUUAAGUACUACAUGAAGGAAAAUGCAAAACAUGCAGAAAAAAUGUCCAUUUGUGAAUAGAAGGUAUAACCAUUUUUUCCAUUUUUCUCAUUUUCAUGAUUUCAUGAUUUCAUGAUUUCAUCUAGAAAUGCAUUCACUUCUGGUUCACUGAUUUUGCCAUCUCCUCUUUCAUCCUGAUGUCCCAUUUCAUUCCAUUGUCUACCAGGCUAAAUUCAACGCAAUCAUCACACAUGUAAAAUACCACAUUCUUUAUUUCUGUAAUGACUUA